rnacentral:pre_miRNA from 1 species
UGUUAAAAUUUCAUCUGUUUUUACAGUUAAAUACUAGCGUGAUUGAUGAAAUAGGCACAUGUACCUCAUAUUAACUUAUAGAGACUUAUUUUUAACCGUAAAAAGUGAUGAAUUUUUUAAUC